CCUCAGUGAUGAUACGAUGACGAGUCGGAAAAGGACCGGUUCUGUUCGAGGAUUCUGGGUCAGGUGCAUGUUUUGUGCUUCUGGCUGCAGGUCCUCAAAACAGAGUCCUCUUUGCUUGAAGACAUCGAGGCAUUUGUCUGAGAGGG